rnacentral:tRNA from 2 species
GCCCUCGUAGCCCAAUCGGCAGAGGCAGGCGACUUAAAAUCGCUCGAGUGCGGGUUCGAGUCCCGUCGAGGGCACCA